rnacentral:ncRNA from 2 species
CCGCACGCGUCGGGAGAGCGCGUGGCCGCUGUUUAUUCGCGUGCCGCGCCGCCGAAGGGGCACACCCGCAAACUCUCAGGCAAAAGGACCGGCCGCGUCGAG